rnacentral:lncRNA from 1 species
UGACAACAUACCUUUAAAUGUGAUACGUAAGCAAGAAUCUGGAAUGCUUCUUAGGGAAGAACAUCCUUCAGCCUAGACUUACAGGAUGACUCAACAUUUGCCAGGCAGAUGGAAAGGAGGAACAUUCCAAGCUUAAAGACAGUGUCGCCUGGAUGGGGCUGACUACAGUGUGGGCGUGUGUGUCCCUGAUUCUUGUGCUGAAGAGGAUGUGACUCUGAUGUCUCGGCUAGUGGUUGGUUAAGUGCAAGGUCGUUUUUAAAGAUGCAUCAGAAUUCAGACAAAGGAAUAACCCCCAAAGGCAUACUCAGAGACUUUCUCAGUCACCUGGUAAGGUUGCAGCCUCUUCACCUGUAUUCAGUGUGCUUGUUGGUUGGACUGUUCUCUCUUGUUCCCUGGGGACCUGUCUGGGAAAUGCCCAAAUUCCACUGGGAUAACUGCCGGCGAGCAUGGUGGACGAAUCUGCUGUUGCUAAAUAACUUUGUGUCGGUCAAGAAUGCAUGCAAUGGCUGGACCUGGUACCUUGCCAAUGACUUCCAGUUCCACCUCACCACACCAGUGAUUAUCUUCAUCCAUGUAAAGAGUACACAGAUCCUCAUCCUCCUUGGGGCCAUGCUGUUCUUGGCAUCUUUCACAGCCACUGCUCUGAUCACAUUGGCAUAUAAACUUCCUGUCGUGGCUCCAUCAGAAACCAGGUCCUCUCUGAACUCAACGUUGCCCAUUGAAACGCUUCUCAGAGGAAAGGAGCGCCCCCAUGUGGCUGUACUGUGUUUCUCCUCCAGCAGCCAAUGGCUGCUUGGUGGCUCUGUUGGAUGGAGAGACUGAACCUACCUCUUCAAGGUCACACAACUAGUAGGUGGCACAGGUGUGAUUUGAACCUAGAAGCCAAUCCACAGUGCUAUUUCCCCUCCCCAAUGAGGCAUGUAUGACACUUACACAGGAAAAACUGUUAUGAUUACCUGCUAAUCUUCUCUCAAUGCAGUGACACAAAUGAAAAUCAGAUUACGUCAGUCAUCUGCUCGAAUUCCUCCAGUGGCCUCAUUGGUCACCCUCCUACCUGCUGACACUGGACCAGCCACACCAACUCAUCUCAACGCACCAAGCACUUUCCCCGAACCCCCUUCCCCACCCUCCC